rnacentral:rRNA from 1 species
GACGAACGCUGGCGGCGUGCUUAACACAUGCAAGUCGAACGGUAAGGCCCCUUCGGGGGUACACGAGUGGCGAACGGGUGAGUAACACGUGGGUGAUCUGCCCUGCACUCUGGGAUAAGCCUGGGAAACUGGGUCUAAUACCGGAUAUGAGCUCCUGUCGCAUGGCGGGGGGUGGAAAGGUUUACUGGUGCAGGAUGGGCCCGCGGCCUAUCAGCUCGUUGGUGGGGUAAUGGCCUACCAAGGCGACGACGGGUAGCCGGCCUGAGAGGGCGACCGGCCACACUGGGACUGAGACACGGCCCAGACUCCUACGGGAGGCAGCAGUGGGGAAUAUUGCACAAUGGGCGAAAGCCUGAUGCAGCGACGCCGCGUGAGGGAUGACGGCCUUCGGGUUGUAAACCUCUUUCAGCAGGGACGAAGCGAGAGUGACGGUACCUGCAGAAGAAGCACCGGCUAACUCCGUGCCAGCAGCCGCAGUAA